rnacentral:rRNA from 1 species
CAGCCGCCACGGGAAUACGGAGGGGGCUAGCGUUGUUCGGAAUUACUGGGCGUAAAGCGCACGUAGGCGGCUUGGUAAGUUAGAGGUGAAAGCCCGGAGCUCAACUCCGGAAUUGCCUUUAAGACUGCCGAGCUAGUAGGUGAGAGAGGUAAGCGGAAUUCCGAGUGUAGAGGUGAAAUUCGUAGAUAUUCGGAAGAACACCAGUGGCGAAGGCGGCUUACUGGCUCAUUCUAGACGCUGAGGUGCGAAAGCGUGGGGAGCAAACAGGAUUAGAUACCCGGGUAGUCCCUGUCUCUUAUAC